CUAAAAGCCCCUAAAUCCUUUCUUCUUCACGUUAAUAUUGAACUAAAACAUCGAUAUUUACUCUCCUCUAUGUAAAAUCGAUCAGCCUCCAGACCACCAUCCGGUGGUCUUAGCCUUUCACCUCUACUUCUUCUCUCUUCUAUCCGUUCCUGUCACUUCACUCAUCUAUCACACGACUUUUGUCUGCUCAAAACAGAGCUACAGAGCUCUUAUCCAUCACUAUUGCGUCUGGAAAGGCAGAGGGAGUAAAGAACCAUCAGAUUUGAGUUUUUUAUUCCUUAAAUCCGAUGGUUCAAGCUCUUCCACCGUCAAAUAGCCCCUUUACCCUCUUCACAUCAAUCUGAAAAAGGUGAACAAUCAAGAAUCACCCUUUCUCUUCUUCCAAUUUGGCCCCUCUGUUUCUCUCUGAGAUUUGGAGCCUUUAUUGAUUAGCCGUUGCAGCACCCUCAAAUUUGGCUAUAAAAGGAUCUUGGUCUCCCAUUUGAAAAGAGAAAGUCAGCAAGAACGACCAAGAAUUAGCAUCUGUCAAAUUAGCAAAAGCACCAGCAAAUUCGUAUUACUCCUUUUUAUUCUUUUUGUGCUUGCUCCUUUUCCAAGUUCGAUUUUGAAUCUCCAACGAGGAAGCCUUAGUUCGCUGCCCCGAAAAAGAUGCGAACCCGCUCCCUUUCAUUUUAUUUUAGUUUUCUUUUCCUUCAUCUAUUUUGAUUCUACAGACAUGAGACUCGCCUAAUUGAUUUCGAGUUGUUGUUGUUGUUGCUGUUUUUGGUCUUGUGGUUAAACAAUAUAAUUUUGAUUUCGAAAGUUGUUUUGCGUAUGAAUAUGUGAUUCUGUGAAUACGUGCGUAUGAGUGUUUGUCGUUCUUAUUUUUAGUUCUUUUUUCGUUUUGAUGCGAGUCAGAGGAGGAGGUCUCGUGAACACCCGUAAGAGCAAAUUCUAUCUCGUCUAAUUAUGUUAUAUUUGGUCUUUGUGAUUCUUUGAUCGUUUGGGUUUGGUUGGUUGAUUGUGGAUGUGAAUGUGAAAAGUAACAUGGUUUGUGGACGCUCGAUUUUGUUCACGUUAGGCAGUGUAUUUAUAAAAUGCUCAUAGUUCGCAAUCUAGCUCGAAUAAAGCUUAUAAAGUGUGAGUCUUCGAAUGGAAUUGGAUGUUUUGCUAGUCCUAAAUGUGAACCUGAAGUAAACUAGUUUUUGGAACGUUGGAUUUUAUGCUGGUGUGUUUGGAGUCUCUGUAACCUUCAAAUCAAUUUGUAAUAGACUUUAGGAGGCUCCCCAGCCUUCUAAUGUAUAUAGCAGAUUAUUUAAGGUCAUUGCAACGUUGGUUCGGAUACUUUGAUUAAUUUAGUUUAAAGAUUAACGUUCGUUAUUUCCGUUAUUAUCGCCUUAAAUCCUAAACAUUUGCUUGUGUAAUCUGUCAAGUUGACUAGCCAGGAAGCUUUAUCAAAGCAUUUUUUUUUUCCAGAUUCUUGAAAGUUUCUGCAAAAAAAAUGAAUUUGCCAAGUUGUUGAUUUAUUUCCUUACAGGGAUGCCUUCUCCUAUGAAUUCCACUAAAAGAAUAGCUUUGAUUACCCAUUAACGAUGAGAUAAAGGCUACUUAUUUGGUCAUAAAGAAGAGCAUAUUAUGUCUUUAAGCUUUUGUAUACUUAAGUUUCACCUUUGUUGCACUGUAUUAAUCCGAGAAUCAUGUUGAAAUGUAUCCUUUCUUAAGACUGCUUUUGGCUGAAAAUUAAGGCCAGUGUUUAGUUUUUGUCAGUUGCUAAUCCUCUGUUUUUUUUCCUUUUCCUAUUCAUAUCUUUUCUCGCGGGUUGUGAGCAGUAAUAUUAUCUUGUUACUGGCAUAUCUCUUGAUUCAUAUGUAAAGGUUAUUGAGCUUUUGGCAAUCUGUACUAAACUUAAUUAAAUCAAUUGAUUUUGUUUGGCAUCUAAUUUCUAGUUUUCCUCCUGUUUGAAUUUCCUGAAUGAUCAACCCAUCCUAAGAACAAAAAAUAUAGUUUGCAAAUUGUGUUCGUCAUUGUCCAGCGAGUAACAUGGAUGAAAAGAAAAAAUGAUGAAUUUAGUCGUAGCAUUGCGUUCAUUUUCUAGUUACCUUGUCUAAGUUUCAGACUUAAUUUUAUUUUUGCCUACUUUAACCUCUCUUAACAGUAUGGACAUUUUGACCUCUUGCCUGUGUAUCUAAAUCGUUUAGUGAUUUGGAGUGAUUGAACUUAACUGAUAUUUUACAAGUUUUGUCUGUGUUGAACUUUGGCCCUUUACCUUGGCCCUUUACCUGGACUAAACAACUAAGUUUUCUCAAUCAAGAUACCUACAUGAAAUCUCUCUGUAAAGUGGGUUGCCAUGCUUAAGCUUUGAUUUGAAAUCUUCUUUAGCUUAUCUUUUCUUGUGUUUGCCCUGGUAAACUUUGAAUUUGCUUCUGUAAAGUUCACUAUGGUUCCUGCAUUGUCUUUGUUACCCAUUUACAUUACUAAAGUACCAAAUUUUUGUUAUACUAAUCUUCAUCAUCUUUUUCUUGUCUCAUGUAUAUUCGGAAGUGCGUUUGAGGCUUCAUGGCUUGACCUCAUCUCUGUCCAAUUAGAGAAGCGAACAAUAAUCAUAUUACAUAUUUCUAUCCAUCAGUCUAGUUCCUCAUUCCUCUUUUUUUUUUCAAGCUUUAUUCUUCUUUCGUAGACACUUAUUAUUAUUUUUGUUUAAUAUUUCGCACAUUAUUUAAAAUUUGUGUUCUAUACGUUCUUAUUUGAAUUAGUGUGAAUUCUUAAAUUUGAUAGCAAACUUAAUUGCUCCCUUCCCGUCUCUUAGAUUUUGAAUUUAGCAUAACCGCUAGGCUUAGGUAUUUAAUUUAUAUCCUUAAAAGGUUAAAAUUUGGUAGACAACUUACCUUUAGAAUUUAAUACUCGAGUUUGUUAGAAUCCCUUAAUACUUCUUUAGUACAAAAUAGUAGCCUAUACUUAGAAUCAAGUUAGUUCUCCAUUAAGUAGUAAUAUCAGAUUAAUAAAAUAUAAGUUUUGCAUCAAACUCGGAAAAUCGGCUUUGCUAAUUUUAGAUAUGGUAAAUCAAUUUGUUUUUAUUUCCAAUUGAUUUCAAAUAAAAGAUGACACUUCGCAAGCCCCUUUUAGGAUUUAUAAUGGGAAGAAAAAAUAAUUUUAUUUAUUUAUAGUUGUAUCGUAGUAAAAUAAUAAUUUCUCAAGGCAUCAUAUAUUUAAGCAAUCAUAUAUUUUAUCUGACCAUUUAGUAGGAUAAGUUUCAUCAUAUAUUUAAGCAAUCAUAUAUUUUAUCUGACCAUUUAGUAGGAUAAGUUUCAUCAUAUAUUUAAGCAAUCAUAUAUUUUAUCUGACCAUUUAGUAGGAUAAUUAACUUAUUAUUAUAAAAUUUAAUAAUAAAUAAAGGGCAAAAGAGGUUUUUUAAGAAUAGAGGAUAAUGUGGACUUCUAACACAAUUAACUUUUUAAUUAUCAAUUGAAAACUUUUUAAAAGAAAUGAUUUUAAAAUAAACUUUUUAUUUGACGCGAUAAGGUUAACAUAACUUUAGGAGGUCUUACAAAAUAUUAUCUUAAGGUAAUUUUAAAAAAUAGGCUUUAUGACGAGGUUUAAUUGUUUUUUCUUGUAAAGAAUUAACAUAUAUUAUCUGAUGAAAGACAAAUAUUUUCCACGCCUUACCUACAUCUUAUUUUAAUAUUUGAUUUCCUAUCUAAUCUAAAUUUUACCGGUUAACCGUAGUUAACGGAUCCUUUACGGUGCCUAAUCCCUUUCCUUUAGGAUAAUUAGAAUUUUAAGUUGCGUAGACCUUAAAAUGAAGUCUUUAAUUUCUUUAGUAGGUGUCCUAAUUCACCGUAGAACUAAUUAGGUGACGACUUUCUUAAAUUUAAUUAAAAGUUUUUCAAUAUGUUGUACCUCGGUUUGACCCGUGUUAAAAUGAGGUAUAACAAUACAUCCAACGAAGAUACAUAAUUAGUUCAAAUUUUUAUAAUUACGUUGUAAGGGUGAGGAUUUAUGUAUGUAUGUUAAGUUCUAGCUGGGGCUUUGAGCUGUAGGUGACAAAAAAGUUUGAAAAUGAGGUGUAGGUGACACAAGUGUUAAUUAUUGAGUGGAUGCGACAAUUACUUUAUUAUGAAUUAAGAAAGUUUGGUACGUUUGAAUUUAUACUUUAGUCCAAAUGUUUACCUAAUAUACUUUAGUCCAAAAGUUUUUAAAUUUAUACUUUGAUUCAAAUGUUUACUUAAUAUUCAUCAUCCAUUGUUGUUUUCUCUCUCUUAGCGAUUUUUAUUGUUCAUUGUUGCUGCUACUUCAUUCAUCAUCUUCUGCUUCAUUAUUAUCGUCUUCUACUUUAUUAUCAUCUUCAUCAUCUUCUUGUUGACCAUUUGUUAUUGUUGUUGUUACCGCUACUGUUAAUAUUUGACUAAUUUCUUAGGUCAAAUUUUGUUUCAUACAUCACUUUCCACUUUGACAUUACUUCAUAGGAAACUUUGGUAAGUCAAAUUAUAAUUUUUAGUUGAAUUUGUCAUCUGGGUUACUGCUAUUGUGCUAUUUUUCCAACAAUGGAUAGAACCCGAUCAUGAAUCCAACAUAAGAGCCAUCUGUUUAAACAUAUAAAUCAUUUGUUGCGACAGAUGAGACAUCUAUUUCAACGGAAGACUGAUAUGUUGGAUUCAUAUUUAUAGUUCUAUAGGUCGUAACAUGAAUCGAACAGAUGGGUCAUCUGUUGCAAUAAAUGAUUUAUCUGUUUAAACAGAUUAGUUAUCUGGUGCAACUUGAUAAAUAUUUGUUGCAAUAGAUUAUUAACUUGUUGCAACAUAACCUGAAUUCAAUUCCAAC
rnacentral:lncRNA from 1 species